UACGAACUGAUGAUCGUAGAUAUUUUUUGAAAGUCUCUUGAAACCUCACAAGUGUCCGACCUCUACGGAUAUCCACAUGAGGUCUCGAUCUGAUCAAAAAUUUUUUGAUCUCAUCAGGGUGCUAGCUUCUUUGCAGAGAUCGCAUCUUGACGGUUGAAAUCUCUUUAUUUUUCUUUAGACCCUCUUAGAAAAGAAGAAGAGAAUAAGAGGAUGAAGAUCUCUAC
rnacentral:lncRNA from 1 species